rnacentral:tRNA from 1 species
GCCUGGCUAGCUCAAUUCGGCAGAGCGUGAGACUCUUAAUCUCAAGGUUGCGGGUUCGACCCCCGCGUUGGGCU